UUUUCGCUCUAAGAUGAGUCCGCGUAAGAUUAGCUAGUUGGUGAGGUAAUGGCUCACCAAGGCGACGAUCUUUAACUGGUCUGAGAGGAUGAUCAGUCACACUGGAACUGAGACACGGUCCAGACUCCUACGGGAGGCAGCAGUAGGGAAUAUUGCACAAUGGAGGAAACUCUGAUGCAGCGACGCCGCGUGAGUGAUGAAGGCCUUCGGGUCGUAAAGCUCUGUCGCAGGGGAAUAACACAAUGAAUGUACCCUGUAAGAAAGGAUCGGCUAACUUCGUGCCAGCAGCCGCGGUAAGACGAGGGAUCCUAGCGUUGUUCGGAAUUAUUGGGCGUAAAGCGGAUGUAGGUGGCUUUGUAAGUCAGAUGUGAAAGCCCAGGGCUCAACCCUGGAAGUGCAUUUGAUACUGCGAAGCUUGAGUGUCGGAGAGGUUACUAGA
rnacentral:rRNA from 1 species